UAUAAGAAGAGGAAGAUCGACCAGAGCUCUCUCUCUCUUCUCUAGGCAUGUGCUCUGAGAAAAGGUCAUCUGAGGACAAAGUACCCGUCUGCAAGCCAGGAAGAGAGCCCUUGCCAGAAACUAAACCCCGCUGGAAACUUGAUUUUGCGCUUUCCAGCCUCUAGAACUAAUAUGUGAAAAACAUUUAAAUCAGAAAGUAAAUGACAGGAUGAUUUGCAAGACACAGGGAUGUAAAAUUAAAAAGCCUCUCGAGCUCCAAAGGGGGAUGCAUCAGGACGAUAAUUCCAAGAGUUCAAUGGUGAAUUUCCUUGGCUUCCACUGAGAAAUUACUGUUUAAUAUUAUAUCAUGUUGAAUUUUUCCCAAUGGUAAUCUUAUGAUGGCUGCAGCUACCUGUUAACUUCAACAAGCACACUGGCCUGGAGACUACAUGAUGGUGUAUCAGUAAUGGAUUUACAACUGCAAACAUCUCAAGCAGCAGUGCCACAUCCCUGCUACCUCCCUGCUUGUGCGUGUGUCCCUACAUUAUCCAAAAUAGGGGUGGGCUAAUGACGAUUGCAGGCUAACUCCAGCCUACCACUUGCUUCUAUAAAUAAAGUCUUAUUGUACACAAACAUAGCCAUUUAUUUA
rnacentral:lncRNA from 1 species